CAGUCGCCACGGGAAUACAGAGGGUGCGAGCGUUAAUCGGAUUUACUGGGCGUAAAGCGUGCGUAGGCGGCUAAUUGAGUCGGAUGUGAAAUCCCCGAGCUUAACUUGGGAAUUGCAUUCGAUACUGGUUAGCUAGAGUGUGGGAGAGGAUGGUAGAAUUCCAGGUGUAGCGGUGAAAUGCGUAGAGAUCUGGAGGAAUUCCGAUGGCGAAGGCAGCCAUCUGGCCUAACACUGACGCUGAGGUACGAAAGCAUGGGGAGCAAACAGGAUUAGAUACCCCUGUAGUCCCUGUCUCUUAUAC
rnacentral:rRNA from 1 species